rnacentral:rRNA from 1 species
GCAAGCGUUAUCCGGAAUUAUUGGGCGUAAAGGGCUCGUAGGCGGUUCGUCGCGUCCGGUGUGAAAGUCCAUCGCUUAACGGUGGAUCCGCGCCGGGUACGGGCGGGCUUGAGUGCGGUAGGGGAGACUGGAAUUCCCGGUGUAACGGUGGAAUGUGUAGAUAUCGGGAAGAACACCAAUGGCGAAGGCAGGUCUCUGGGCCGUUACUGACGCUGAGGAGCGAAAGCGUGGGGAGCGAACAGGAUUAGAUACCCUGGUAGUCCACGCCGUAAACGGUGGAUGCUGGAUGUGGGGCCCGUUCCACGGGUUCCGUGUCGGAGCUAACGCGUUAAGCAUCCCGCCUGGGGAGUACGGCCGCAAGGCUAAAACUCAAAGAAAUUGACGGGGGCCCGCACAAGCGGCGGAGCAUGCGGAUUAAUUCGAUGCAACGCGAAGAACCUUACCUGGGCUUGACAUGUUCCCGACGGUCGUAGAGAUACGGCUUCCCUUCGGGGCGGGUUCACAGGUGGUGCAUGGUCGUCGUCAGCUCGUGUCGUGAGAUGUUGGGUUAAGUCCCGCAACGAGCGCAACCCUCGCCCCGUGUUGCCAGCGGAUUAUGCCGGGAACUCACGGGGGACCGCCGGGGUUAACUCGGAGGAAGGUGGGGAUGACGUCAGAUCAUCAUGCCCCUUACGUCCAGGGCUUCACGCAUGCUACAAUGGCCGGUACAACGGGAUGCGACGCGGCGACGCGGAGCGGAUCCCUGAAAACCGGUCUCAGUUCGGAUCGCAGUCUGCAACUCGACUGCGUGAAGGCGGAGUCGCUAGUAAUCGCGAAUCAGCAACGUCGCGGUGAAUGCGUUCCCGGGCCUUGUACACACCGCCCGUCAAGUCAUGAAAGUGGGCAGCACCCGAAGCCGGUGGCCUAACCCCUUGUGGGAUGGAGCCGUCUAAGGUGAGGCUCGUGAUUGGGACUAAGUCGUAACAAGGUAGCCGUACCGGAAGGUGCGGCUG